rnacentral:rRNA from 1 species
GGUAGCAGAGAGGGGCAGCGAAAACAACAUUAGGUUUCUUAGAGUUCUAUGACUCAACCAAAGAAGUGUGGCGGUUUGGGGUUUCGGGACCUCAAGCUCUUCAACAUAGCUCUUUUGGCUAGGCAAUCAUGGUGCCUCCUCGCCACAGCUGAAUCUCUUUGUGCCAGGAUGCUCAAGAUUGUCUAUUACCCUAACAGUGGCAUUCUCAAUGUUGAACUGGGGUCUCACCAAUCUCAAGUUUGGAGGUCCAUCUUGCAGGGCAGAGAUUCUCUCUUGCAUGGCCUCAUUGGGUGUAACGGCAACGUUACUACUAUGCGGGUAUGGAGGAUCCCAAGAGAUGCAUCUAUGAGGCAAGUUGUGUGCCUGACUAAUGAUCUUCCUACCUUUGUUAGUGUUCUCAUUGACAACACCUCGACAGCAUGGAGAGUUGACAAGCUGAGGCAAUACUUUAUUCACUCUGAUGCUUAA